CCUACGGGAGGCAGCAGUGAGGAAUAUUGGUCAAUGGGCGCGAGCCUGAACCAGCCAAGUAGCGUGAAGGAUGACUGCCCUAUGGGUUGUAAACUUCUUUUAUAAAGGAAUAAAGUGAGGCACGUGUGCCUUUUUGCAUGUACUUUAUGAAUAAGGAUCGGCUAACUCCGUGCCAGCAGCCGCGGUAAUACGGAGGAUCCGAGCGUUAUCCGGAUUUAUUGGGUUUAAAGGGAGCGUAGAUGGGUUGUUAAGUCAGUUGUGAAAGUUUGCGGCUCAACCGUAAAAUUGCAAUUGAUACUGGCAGCCUUGAGUACAGUUGAGGUAGGCGGAAUGCGUGGUGUAGCGGUGAAAUGCUUAGAGAUCACGAAGAACUCCGAUUGCGAAGGCAGCUUACUAAACUGCCACUGACGUUGAGGCUCGAAAGUGUGGGUAUCAAACAGGAUUAGAUACCCCUGUAGUC
rnacentral:rRNA from 1 species